rnacentral:rRNA from 1 species
UCCGGUUGAUCCUGCCGGACCCCACUGCUAUCGGGAUAGGACUAAGACAUGCUAGUCGAGCGCUUCAGCCAAAAAGAGGCGCGGCAUACAGCUCAGUAACACGUGGCUAAUCUGCCCUUAGGACGAGAACAACCCCGGGAAACUGGGGCUAACUCUCGAUAGGUGAAGAACUCUGGAAUGAGUCUUCGCCCAAAAAGCUUCACGUUAUGCGCGUGAGGUUGCCUAAGGAUGAGGCCGCGACCGAUCAGGUUGUUGGUGAGGUAAUGGCUCACCAAGCCUUUUACCGGUGCGGGCCGUGAGAGCGGGAGCCCGGAGAUGGGCACUGAGACAAGGGCCCAGGCCCUACGGGGCGCAGCAGUCGCGAAAACUUUGCAAUACACGAAAGUGUGACAGGGCUAUCCCGAGUGCCAUCCGCUGAGGAAGGCUUUUACCCAGUCUAGAACGCUGGGGGAAUAAGGAGAGGGCAAGUCUGGUGUCAGCCGCCGCGGUAAUACCAGCUCUCCGAGUGGUGUGGAUGUUUAUUGGGCCUAAAGCAUCCGUAGCUGGCUAAGUUAGUCCCUUGUUAAAUCCACCGAAUUAAUCGUUGGAUUGCGGGGGAUACUGCUUGGCUAGGGGACGAGAGAGGCAGACGGUAUUCCCGGGGUAGGGGUGAAAUCCUAUAAUCCCGAGAAGACCACCAGUGGCGAAGGCUGUCUGCUAGAACGCGCCCGACGGUGAGGGAUGAAAGCUGGGGGAGCGAACCGGAUUAGAUACCCGGGUAGUCCCAGCUGUAAACGAUGCAGGCUAGUGUUUGGACGGCCACGUGCCGUUCCAGUGCCGCAGGGAAGCUGUUAAGCCUGCCGCCUGGGGAGUACGAUCGCAAGAUUGAAACUUAAAGGAAU